rnacentral:lncRNA from 1 species
AUUAGCCCUUCUGAAAGAGGUGGGAGGUGGGACUUUUUUUUCCUCAGAGAAAGAGCCACGGAGUUCAGGGGUCACUCCAUGUCAACAUCACAGAAGUGCAAGAUCCACAGAAGUGACUUGAAGGGGCCAGAGGAAUAUCAUGUAGACAUAGCAACCCAGAAGCGAUGUUCAAAGAACACAGCCUUUUAAAAGGUUCCAGAUCCAUGAUCCUUGGCUCUAUUUUGGAGCUACUGGAUGAAUAGAAGACAAGUCCUGGAUGAUGGAUGGACUUACACUACAGGUGGAGACACAGACCAUAAACACAUUCACCAAGCAGCAGCGGAAUGAAGGAUGUAGCUGACCAAAGAAAUGGCGUGUGGCAGACACAGCCUCUCUACCUCACCGACACAUAGAAAAAAAAAACCAGAGGGAGGGGGAGAGGAGAAUGUGAAGGCAUGCACAAAACCAGCAAGUGCGAAGGUCCUGGCAGCCGGAGUUUGAAGAGUGAGGGAGAACACCAGAGGGUAAGAGCAGAGAGAUGAAGGGGAGUGACCACAAGAAGAGCGGUAGUGGUGAUGGUGGCUUAUACUAGUGGGCCACUCCUCCAGGCACUACUUGAGGCUCGUCCAUCAUUUCAACGAAUCUUGAUAAGAACCUCUGAAGAAGAGACAUUCUUGCUUUAUAAACAAGGAAACCAAGCCAUAGG